rnacentral:lncRNA from 1 species
CGCCCCGCGGUUUCCACGGCGACCCCGGCCGCCGGGCCACGCCCCGCGGUUUCCACGGCGACCCCGGCCGCCGCGGCCCGCCGCCGCCGCCGCCGCCGCCGCCGCGCCAGGUGCCCUGCGCCCGCCUGCAGGAGGGGAGUCUCCAGGCCAGGCUGAGAAGCCAACUGGUGUACAGCUUUCGGGUCUCAGCUGAGGUGUCAGCUCCCCAGUGGCAUCCCCAGCACCCUGUGGUCCUGACGUCGCACACGUACCACUGCCCCGGACUUGCUCACCCAACGGGAAGGACUUUUCUUCAUACUGCCCUUCCUCCGAGUUGUGCCAGUAAACAGGCUGGGUUUCAGGACCUGGAGAGACCUUUGGGCAGAUGGAUCCCUUUCUCCCCACACUGACUGGAUCUUCUCCAAGGGAUGAGGCAGACACACCUCAAACCCUUGACCUAAAGCACCUGCGAGCCAAGCGUGUGGCUUACUAUGAAAGCAUUGGAAUCAUCAAGGGUGGUUCUUCCAAAGUUGGCAGCAAACCAGUGUCCACAGCUUCCCAAAACCCCAAAGGGAAACCCUCAGAAAAUCAGAUUAAGUUGAAAGGACUGCAGAAGUCAUCUCGCUAUUCAUCUAGUGGAAAGAAAUCUUUGCUCUCUGAAGAGUCUCAAGUGGUUCCUGGAGAAGCAGAGCAGGCCCUGGGCCAGAGGGUCGGGAAGGAGCACAGAAGAAGGAGCUGCCCCAUGGAACUGGAUCUCCAGAUGUUGGCUGAUACCUCAGUCCCCGAGACCCAGAAACUGCGGCAUGUUAUAAAUUGGGCCCAGAAGUUCAUAUCCAACUCUCCAGAAGAGCAGGGGUUGAGGAGUCCCAAAACUUCCUUUAGUCUCCUUCAGUCUAACCUUUGCCAAGGUACAAAAGCUGUAGGAAGUCAGAAAGAUGUCUGUCUGAGAUCAUCUGAUUCUCCACCCCUGUUCAGAGAAGGCCAGGCCAGCCCACAAACAGACCUUCAUAGCUUGUCUUUAUGUCUCUUGAAGAACUUGUCUUCAGAAUUUCCAAGUUCCUUUCUGAUGGUGGAUGAUCCUGGCAGUGGGUCUUGUGGAUGUCAAGAAACUACAGUUAAGAAUGAGAGGGAAGGAAUUGCUGCUGCGCCCCUCGCUGCUAGUUUUAAGGAGGCAGAUUCUGCUCAACAAGAGUAUGAUCAAGCAGGAACUCGACGUCUUCAGAACCCAAAUAAGGAAGACAUGUUUCCUGAGAGGCUGAGGAUUCAGACACAACUCAGAGACACUUCUGAAGAAAGGACGGCUUUAGAGGAUACUGGAGAGAGCCUGCCCAGAAACGGUUACUUCUGGACUCCACUGAGCGACAGCUCAGAGGAAGAGUGUUUAGAUGAACCUGGGGAUAGUAAGGGGCCAUUUAGAAGGGGGGUGCAAUGGAGAAAGAGUAAAGAGUUUGUAGGAGUUGCACUGUCUUCCACAAGUGAUAGCACACCAGGGCCACAGACCACAAUGCUAGAGAAUGGCAUCUCCUUCCCUGGGGACACACCCCUUAAGGCUGACAUGAGGGGAAAUUUCAGAGGAGCAGUGCCUACAGGGAUACCCCAGGAUGUCCCAGCAGAGGUCAAGGCGAAUAGCUCCAAAGACCAGUGCCAUAUUGUGAUCCCCAUCCAGGGACUGCCUGGGGUUCAACUUAUGUCCCCAUCUGACCAUUCCAAAGGAAGGGGAAAGGCAUCAGACAAUGUGAGGUUCACUUUGAGGUCCCCCCACUCUGAUAUUAACAGUAGAAAUGAAGGGAAAUGUGGCUCCAUGGAGAGAGAAGGGGACGCUCUUUUGGGGAGAGCACCAAGAGGCAGUGAGAACAAGAGCGUGCAGAGAUGGGUCAAAAGCAGCCCUCCUGUGAUAACUCAGGGGCAGUCUGAUCUAGCACAUCCCGAGAGUUGCCCGGUCCCUCAAAUUGACAACUUCUCGUCGAAUUUGUUAGAGGACCCCUUGGAGAAUGUUUCAGUUCAUGAACGUUGGGACUCCGAGGUCUUCUGUGCAUCCACUACAGAUUCACACAGUCCUUGGUUCAGCCAGUCGCCACCACCUGGGGCCAACAGCCCAUCAGGACAGACACACCUGGUGGUCACGAGGGCAAUGACUCAAGAGCGAAAGGAAAAGGCGGCGCCUUCCAGUUAUCCUAUUUCCAGAGACGUUUCCAAAAAUGGUUUGAAGCGCUCCUUCCCGCUCCAGGAAGCUGGUGGCGGUCCUUCCUGGAGUGUCCUGGAGACAUAUUUCUAUUAUUUGCACAUGUUGACCCGGAUCAGGGGUCACUCUUCAGAAGAGGAGAACUCCUCUUUGCCUUUUCAGGGGCCUGGGCUGUCAGAAUUAGAGCUGACAGUCCCAUCUCUAGAAGGGAAAGGCAGAUUUAGAGGGGCCAGCCUGGACAGGGACGCCGAGGAAUGCAAGGAUGGGCGUGAGAGCAACGUAGCUGCGGACGGGGAGGGAGACCCCCAUCCCCAAGGACGAGGCUGUGCAGAAGAGGCAGCUCUGCAAGGGACCAGCUUUUGGAAACCUCAAAGCAAUUAUGAUUGCAAAACAUUUCAAGAACAAGCUUGA